GUAUCUGCACAUAGGGGUCUCAGAAGGACAUGUUCAUCCCUCAUACACCAAAGCAGCUGAAGGGUUCCUGUUACACAGUUGAUUACGGAAACGAAGAAACAUGUGCUAAAAUAGCAUAGGAUGCAGCAGUUUGCAGCUUUCUUUCAAGAGCAUUGGGUAUAUUCAAAAUGUUGCCUGUAGAAAAUGAAGCUGCACAGGAGGCAGAAAUGGAGUCCCUGAAGCCUUCCUCCCCAUCACA